rnacentral:rRNA from 1 species
GACGAACGCUGGCGGCGUGCUUAACACAUGCAAGUCGAACGAAGAGCGAUGGAAGCUUGCUUCUAUCAAUCUUAGUGGCGAACGGGUGAGUAACGCGUAAUCAACCUGCCCUUCAGAGGGGGACAACAGUUGGAAACGACUGCUAAUACCGCAUACGAUCUAAUCUCGGCAUCGAGGAUAGAUGAAAGGUGGCCUCUACAUGUAAGCUAUCACUGAAGGAGGGGAUUGCGUCUGAUUAGCUAGUUGGAGGGGUAACGGCCCACCAAGGCGAUGAUCAGUAGCCGGUCUGAGAGGAUGAACGGCCACAUUGGGACUGAGACACGGCCCAGACUCCUACGGGAGGCAGCAGUGGGGAAUCUUCCGCAAUGGACGAAAGUCUGACGGAGCAACGCCGCGUGAGUGAUGACGGCCUUCGGGUUGUAAAGCUCUGUUAAUCGGGACGAAAGGCCUUCUUGCGAAUAGUUAGAA